rnacentral:rRNA from 1 species
GAUGAACGCUGGCGGCGUGCCUAAUACAUGCAAGUCGAACGAGUUCUCGUUGAAUCUCGGUGCUUGCACCGAGAUUCAACAUGGAACGAGUGGCGGACGGGUGAGUAACACGUGGGUAACCUGCCCUUAAGUGGGGGAUAACAUUUGGAAACAGAUGCUAAUACCGCAUAGAUCCAAGAACCGCAUGGUUCUUGGCUGAAAGAUGGCGUAAGCUAUCGCUUUUGGAUGGACCCGCGGCGUAUUAGCUAGUUGGUGAGGUAAUGGCUCACCAAGGCGAUGAUACGUAGCCGAACUGAGAGGUUGAUCGGCCACAUUGGGACUGAGACACGGCCCAAACUCCUACGGGAGGCAGCAGUAGGGAAUCUUCCACAAUGGACGCAAGUCUGAUGGAGCAACGCCGCGUGAGUGAAGAAGGCUUUCGGGUCGUAAAACUCUGUUGUUGGAGAAGAAUGGUCGGCAGAGUAACUGUUGUCGGCGUGACGGUAUCCAACCAGAAAGCCACGGCUAACUACGUGCCAGCAGCCGCGGUAAUACGUAGGUGGCAAGCGUUAUCCGGAUUUAUUGGGCGUAAAGCGAGCGCAGGCGGUUUUUUAAGUCUGAUGUGAAAGCCCUCGGCUUAACCGAGGAAGCGCAUCGGAAACUGGGAAACUUGAGUGCAGAAGAGGACAGUGGAACUCCAUGUGUAGCGGUGAAAUGCGUAGAUAUAUGGAAGAACACCAGUGGCGAAGGCGGCUGUCUGGUCUGUAACUGACGCUGAGGCUCGAAAGCAUGGGUAGCGAACAGGAUUAGAUACCCUGGUAGUCCAUGCCGUAAACGAUGAAUGCUAGGUGUUGGAGGGUUUCCGCCCUUCAGUGCCGCAGCUAACGCAUUAAGCAUUCCGCCUGGGGAGUACGACCGCAAGGUUGAAACUCAAAGGAAUUGACGGGGGCCCGCACAAGCGGUGGAGCAUGUGGUUUAAUUCGAAGCAACGCGAAGAACCUUACCAGGUCUUGACAUCUUUUGAUCACCUGAGAGAUCAGGUUUCCCCUUCGGGGGCAAAAUGACAGGUGGUGCAUGGUUGUCGUCAGCUCGUGUCGUGAGAUGUUGGGUUAAGUCCCGCAACGAGCGCAACCCUUAUGACUAGUUGCCAGCAUUUAGUUGGGCACUCUAGUAAGACUGCCGGUGACAAACCGGAGGAAGGUGGGGAUGACGUCAAAUCAUCAUGCCCCUUAUGACCUGGGCUACACACGUGCUACAAUGGAUGGUACAACGAGUUGCGAGACCGCGAGGUCAAGCUAAUCUCUUAAAGCCAUUCUCAGUUCGGACUGUAGGCUGCAACUCGCCUACACGAAGUCGGAAUCGCUAGUAAUCGCGGAUCAGCACGCCGCGGUGAAUACGUUCCCGGGCCUUGUACACACCGCCCGUCACACCAUGAGAGUUUGUAACACCCGAAGCCGGUGGCGUAACCCUUUUAGGGAGCGAGCCGUCUAAGGUGGGACAAAUGAUUAGGGUG